UUCCGUCCAAGGCUAAAUAC
rnacentral:snRNA from 1 species